rnacentral:rRNA from 1 species
UGAGCGCUGGCGGCGUGCCUAAUACAUGCACGUCGAGCGAACAGACGAGGAGCUUGCUCCUCCGACGUUAGCGGCGGACGGGUGAGUAACACGUGGAUAACCUACCUAUAAGACUGGGAUAACUUCGGGAAACCGGAGCUAAUACCGGAUAAUAUAUUGAACCGCAUGGUUCAAUAGUGAAAGACGGUUUUGCUGUCACUUAUAGAUGGAUCCGCGCCGCAUUAGCUAGUUGGUAAGGUAACGGCUUACCAAGGCAACGAUGCGUAGCCGACCUGAGAGGGUGAUCGGCCACACUGGAACUGAGACACGGUCCAGACUCCUACGGGAGGCAGCAGUAGGGAAUCUUCCGCAAUGGGCGAAAGCCUGACGGAGCAACGCCGCGUGAGUGAUGAAGGUCUUCGGAUCGUAAAACUCUGUUAUUUGGGAAGAACAAAUGUGUAAGUAACUAUGCACGUCUUGACGGUACCUAAUCAGAAAGCCACGGCUAACUACGUG